rnacentral:rRNA from 1 species
AGUGAACGCUGGCGGUAGGCCUAACACAUGCAAGUCGAACGGCAGCACAGGAGAGCUUGCUCUCUGGGUGGCGAGUGGCGGACGGGUGAGGAAUACAUCGGAAUCUACUUUUUCGUGGGGGAUAACGUAGGGAAACUUACGCUAAUACCGCAUACGACCUACGGGUGAAAGCAGGGGACCUUCGGGCCUUGCGCGAUUGAAUGAGCCGAUGUCGGAUUAGCUAGUUGGCGGGGUAAAGGCCCACCAAGGCGACGAUCCGUAGCUGGUCUGAGAGGAUAAUCAGCCACACUGGAACUGAGACACGGUCCAGACUCCUACGGGAGGCAGCAGUGGGGAAUAUUGGACAAUGGGCGCAAGCCUGAUCCAGCCAUACCGCGUGGGUGAAGAAGGCCUUCGGGUUGUAAAGCCCUUUUGUUGGGAAAGAAAUCCAGCUGGCUAAUACCCGGUUGGGAUGACGGUACCCAAAGAAUAAGCACCGGCUAACUUCGUGCCAGCCGCCGCGGUAA